AAUUCUUUAGUAAGUAGUUCUUACAUUUAAGUAGUUCUUAAAUAUUGGGUACGUUGCACCAACCACAUUUGAUAAAUUCUUACCUAAGAAUCGCUUAAGAAUUUGUAUACAUGGCAACAGUGUAAUAAUUUAGUGAAUUUGGUUUUAUUUGUAUAUUUUAACAGAACCUCACUUUACUGCUAAAAUAUAAACAAGUGAUAUCGAUUUAAAGGUGCUCUAUUUUUAUCGUACCUAUUUAAAAAUGGAAAACGAUGUAAGUGUUUUACAAUAUUUGAAUGGUUUACAAUCAUCUGCUGACCCUUAUUUUUGUAGGACUUGUCUCAGAAAAAUAAGAGUCGCACCCCUAAUUUUACUGGGAGCGAGAAACAGUUACUAUUCAGUAUCAUCCACAAAUACAAAGAAAUAAUAGAGAACAAGAAGACUGAUGGCGUUACCAAUGAAGAGAAAGUAAGGACUUGGGACAAAGUUGUUUCCGAGUUUAAUACCAGUUGUCCAGAACGUCAUCGGUCGUUGCAGUCUUUAAAAAAACUCUAUUACAACAAAAAGAAAGAGAUACGGAAGUCGGUGGCAGAAGAAACUAAGGAACGAUAUUUAACAGGUGUGGUGUUAUUUUAUUAUUUCUUCCUAAUCAUCAUAUUUUGAUAAAAGAUUAAUCGUAGUCAACUUUAUUUAAGGAGGGGGUGUGAUGAAGAUUCCCAAACCAUGCCCUGAUAAGGACUUGGUGUUGAGUAUAAUGAACGAAAAAACAACAUACGGUUUUAAUACUGAAUUUGAUUCCGACUUUGUUAAUUUGGUAAAGAAAAAAACCACAAGUAUAUUAUUUAUAUAAUGCCUACUGUCUUCAUGAAAUAACUUUAAUAAAUCUCAAUUUAUAGUGCGAGGUAUUGCCUGUAAAUGGAACAGCGAGAAAACCUACACAAAAUUCAUUGUUGUCUCCUGCUAUUGUAGAAGUAAUUGAAGAAGAUGACUGCAAUCUGUCUACAGAUUUCCCAAAUGAUGAGAUCGAAGGAGCUGUGGAGAACCUUUAUACACCUUCCACAUCCGGUAAACAAAAUGUGGAAUAUGACCAACCUUCUAAAAAGAGAAAAUUUAGUGCAAGUAGAAGACGUCCUGCAACGGUUGUGAAGGCUCUAACUUCAUCUGCACUUGGGGAAAAGUACAACAAAUUAGUUGACUACAGGUUAGCUAUAGCGGAAGCAGAGAUGAAGUGGCAAUCCGAGCAUCAUGCUCUGCAGCGAGAAUCAAUACUUCUGGAUAUUCAAAUAAAAAAGGAAACUUU